rnacentral:rRNA from 1 species
CCUACGGGAGGCAGCAGUGGGGAAUAUUGCACAAUGGGGGAAACCCUGAUGCAGCGACGCCGCGUGAGCGAUGAAGUAUUUCGGUAUGUAAAGCUCUAUCAGCAGGGAAGAAAAUGACGGUACCUGACUAAGAAGCCCCGGCUAACUACGUGCCAGCAGCCGCGGUAAUACGUAGGGGGCAAGCGUUAUCCGGAUUUACUGGGUGUAAAGGGAGCGUAGACGGCUUGGCAAGCCAGAUGUGAAAGGCUGGGGCUCAACCCCAGGACUGCAUUUGGAACUGGCAUGCUAGAGUGUCGGAGAGGCAGGCGGAAUGCGUGGUGUAGCGGUGAAAUGCAUAGAUAUUAGGCGGAACACCAGUUGCGAAGGCGGCCUGCUGGACGCUUACUGACGUUGAGGCACGAAAGUGUGGGGAGCAAACAGGAGUAGAUACCCGUGUAGUC